rnacentral:rRNA from 1 species
UACGAAGGGGGCUAGCGUUGCUCGGAAUCACUGGGCGUAAAGCGCUCGUAGGCGGAUUGUUAAGUCGAGGGUGAAAUCCUGGAGCUCAACUCCAGAACUGCCUUCGAUACUGGCAAUCUUGAGUCCGGGAGAGGUGAGUGGAACUCCGAGUGUAGAGGUGAAAUUCGUAGAUAUUCGGAAGAACACCAGUGGCGAAGGCGGCUCACUGGCCCGGUACUGACGCUGAGGUGCGAAAGCCGUGGGGAGCAAACAGGGAUUAAGAUAC